rnacentral:rRNA from 1 species
CGAAAGAAAAAGAAGUCGUCUUUUCGGGUGAGUAACACGUGGGUAACCUGCCCAUCAGAAGGGGAUAACACUUGGAAACAGGUGCUAAUACCGUAUAACACUAUUUUCCGCAUGGAAGAAAGUUGAAAGGCGCUUUUGCGUCACUGAUGGAUGGACCCGCGGUGCAUUAGCUAGUUGGUGAGGUAACGGCUCACCAAGGCAACGAUGCAUAGCCGACCUGAGAGGGUGAUCGGCCACACUGGGACUGAGACACGGCCCAGACUCCUACGGGAGGCAGCAGUAGGGAAUCUUCGGCAAUGGACGAAAGUCUGACCGAGCAACGCCGCGUGAGUGAAGAAGGUUUUCGGAUCGUAAAACUCUGUUGUUAGAGAAGAACAAGGAUGAGAGUAAAAUGUUCAUCCCUUGACGGUAUCUAACCAGAAAGCCACGGCUAACUACGUGCCAGCAGCCGCGGUAAAUACGUAGGUGGCAAGCGUUGUCCGGAUUUAUUGGGCGUAAAGCGAGCGCAGGCGGUUUCUUAAGUCUGAUGUGAAAGCCCCCGGCUCAACCGGGGAGGGUCAUU